AGGACGAACGCUGGCGGCGUGCUUAACACAUGCAAGUCGAGCGAGGCCCCUUCCUUCGGGAGGGGAGCCCUAGCGGCGAACGGGUGAGUGACACGUGGGCAAUCUGCCCCUAGCACUGGGAUAACUCCGGGAAACCGGGGCUAAUACCGGAUAUGACCUCCGAGGGCAUCCUCUGGAGGUGGAAAGGAUUCUGGCUAGGGAUGAGCCCGCGGCCUAUCAGCUAGUUGGUGGGGUAAUGGCCCACCAAGGCGACGACGGGUA
rnacentral:rRNA from 1 species